rnacentral:rRNA from 1 species
CACGGGUGAGUAACACGUAUCCAACCUGCCGUCUACUCUUGGACAGCCUUCUGAAAGGAAGAUUAAUACAGGAUGGCAUCAUGAGUCCGCAUGUUCACAUGAUUAAAGGUAUUCCGGUAGACGAUGGGGAUGCGUUCCAUUAGAUAGUAGGCGGGGUAACGGCCCACCUAGUCUUCGAUGGAUAGGGGUUCUGAGAGGAAGGUCCCCCACAUUGGAACUGAGACACGGUCCAA